GCCAGCUUCACUUAUGUGUCAAGUAUUCAAUAUUGAAGUUGUGUUGGCAAAGUAUUAAAACUCAAAAUUGUUUUCAUCUGUUAAUCCUAUUUAAGUUUUCAAUUAUCAUCAGAUAUAAAUACGAUUAGUCAAAAGACUACGGAUUUUGUAUUAAGGUUAUAUUAAUUCAAUAAAAUAAAAAGCAUCAUGAAUAAGAGUAUCGAUUCAAAGCCGAUAAAUCAGUAUAGUGAUUCAGAACUGAUAAAUAUAAUAUGUGAGAUAAGUGAAAUAAAGGCAAUGCAAGUAACCAUUAAAUCAUGCCUUGUAGAAGGAUGUGUUGGUGCAAGUAUGAUUCCGAUAUGCGGUUUGCUUUUCGGUCCCAUUGGCUUUCUAAUUGGUAAAUCACUGGAACUACCCCCAUGAAAAAAAUUUACAAAAAAAAUAUAUGUUAAAUAUAAAAAAAAUUUUUUUUCAUAUAAAAAAAAUAUAUUUUUCAUAUAAAAAAAAUAUAUUAAAAAUACAUAAAAAAUAUAUAUUUCAAAUAGCUAACUUUUGGCCGAUUUUCGUAUAUGUUUUAUAUAUUUCAAAUAUAUUAAAAAUAUAUCUUAGAAUAUAUGAAAAAUACAUGUAUAAAAAUAUACAAAAAAUAUAUUUUUUUUUUAUUUUAAAAAUAUACAAAAAUUAUAUAAAAAAUAUAUUUUUUACAUAAACUUUUUCUAUGUUGUUAAUUAACUUAAUAAUAUAUUUUUUAUAUAAUUUUUUUAUAUUUUCAUAAUUAUAUUUUUUAUAGAUUUAAAAUAUAUUACUAAUAUAUAAAAUUUUUUUUCCUGUAUUUUUUUUCCUGUAUUAUUUAAACGGAAAAUAGAAAUAUGUGAUGCGCGACCGCUAAACAUUGAAAUUAAGAGCUCUGGUUUUCACAGGUUUUUUUUUCGAUAAUUUGAAGAUAUUUCAAUGUGAGAUUUAAAAAAAAAAUAGUCGAUGUUUUUGAAUCAGUCUAAUAUAUAUAUAUAUA